GAGGAGCUGGCUCAGUGGUAGAGCGCUUGCCUAGCAUGCAUGAGGCCCUGGGUUCAAUUCUUCAGUACCACA
rfam:Dipodomys ordii contig_33220, whole genome shotgun sequence.